rnacentral:rRNA from 1 species
AUGAAGGAGGAAUUGGCAUCAAUAGAGGAAAACCAUAAUUGGGAGUUGUGUGACCUGCCAAGAGGACACAAGCCAAUUGGGGUAAAAUGGGUCUAUAAGUUGAAGAAAGAUCCAGACGGCAAGGUUGUCAAGCACAAGGCAAGGCUAGUCACAAAAGGGUAUGCUCAGCGACAAGGUAUUGAUUAUGAGGAAGUGUUUGCACCUGUAGCUCGUCUAGAAUCUGUCAGGCUACUAAUUGCACUUGCAGCUCAGUUUGGAUGGAAAAUACACCAAAUGGAUGUCAAGUCGGCCUUCCUAAAUGGUGAUCUGGUUGAAGAGGUAUAUGUGACCCAGCCGCCAGGCCAUGAGAUAGAAGGGAAGGACAGUAAGGUGUAUCGCUUGCACAAGGCGUUGUAUGGGGUCAAACAAGCGCCAAGGGCAUGGAACUCCAAGCUGGAUGCAACACUCUCUGAACUAGGCUUUGAAAAGUGUCCUUCAGAGUCUGGUCUGUACAGGAAGAAAGCAGGUGGUUCUGCACUGAUUGUGGGUGUGUAUGUGGAUGAUCUAGUCAUCACAGGAGGAAGUGAGCAAGCCAUUGAGGAUUUCAAAAGGCAGAUGAAAUUCAGGUUCAACAUGACAGAUUUGGGUCUAUUGAGCUAUUACUUGGACAUAGAGGUAAAGCAAUCAGAGAAGGGCAUUACUCUUUGUCAAACUGGCUAUGCUUCACGGAUACUUGAAAAGAUGGGGAUGACAAACUGUAAUGCAAGUCACACACCUAUGGAGCCAAGACUGAAACUGUCGAGAACAAGUCAGGCUGAGGAAGUUGAUCCAACUGAAUAUCGAAGCAUAGUUGGGAGUUUAAGGUAUUUGUUGCACACAAGACCAGAUCUCAGCUUUGCAGUUGGAUAUGUCAGCAGAUUCAUGGAAAGGCCAACCAAGGAUCAUACGACAGCAGUAAAACACAUAUUAAGAUAUGUGAAAGGCACACUCAGUUUGGGUUGCAGCUACAAGAAAACUGAAGGAAAACCAUAA